UACGAAGGGGCUAGCGUUGUUCGGAAUUACUGGGCGUAAAGCGCGCGCAGGCGGUUUCAAGUCAGUGGUGAAAGCCCGGAGCUCAACUCCGGAAAUGCCAUUGAAACUGAUUGGCUGGAAGAUGAGAGGGGAUAGCGGAAUUUCUGGUGUAGAGGUGAAAUUCGUAGAUACCAGAAGGAACACCGGUGGCGAAGGCGGCUAUCUGGCUCAUUCUUGACGCUCUGGCGCGAAAGCGUGGGGAUCAAACAGGG
rnacentral:rRNA from 1 species